UACAGAGGGUGCGAGCGUUUGUUCGGAAUUAUUGGGCGUAAAGGGCGCGUAGGCGGUGCGGUAAGUCACCUGUGAAAUCUCCUGGCUCAACUGGGAGCUUGCAGGCGAAACUGCCGUGCUGGAGUGUGGGGAGAGGUGCGUGGAAUUCCUGGUGUAGCGGUGAAAUGCGUAGAUAUCAGGAGGAACACCUGUGGCGAAAAGCGGCGCACUGGACCACAACUGACGCUGAUGCGCGAAAAGCGUGGGGUAGCAAACAGG
rnacentral:rRNA from 1 species